rnacentral:rRNA from 1 species
AUUGAACGCUGGCGGAAUGCUUUACACAUGCAAGUCGAACGGCAGCACGGACUUCGGUCUGGUGGCGAGUGGCGAACGGGUGAGUAAUGUAUCGGAACGUGCCCAGUCGUGGGGGAUAACGUAGCGAAAGUUACGCUAAUACCGCAUACGAUCUACGGAUGUAAGCGGGGGACCGUAAGGCCUCGCGCGAUUGGAGCGGCCGAUGUCAGAUUAGGUAGGUGGUGAGGUAAAGGCUCACCAAGCCGACGAUCUGUAGCUGGUCUGAGAGGACGACCGGCCAGAGUGGGACUGAGACACGGUCCAGACUCCUACGGGAGGCAGCAGUGGGGAAUUUGGGACAAUGGGCGAAAGCCUGAUCCAGCCAUUCCGCGUGCAGGAUGAAGGCCCUCGGGUUGUAAACUGCUUUUGUACAGAACGAAAAGGUUUCUACUAAUACUAGGAGCUCAUGACGGUACUGUAAGAAUAAGCACCGGCUAACUACGUGCCAGCCGCCGCGGUAA